CCUCUUUCUUAAUAACCGCAGAGCGCCUAUAUUCAGACUGUUCCUUCGGGAUCUAUGGGGAUAAACGCCCACGUAAUAAGCGGACUGGACCCGGGUGCGAUUCCCGGCGGCUCCACCAUCUCUCCCUUACGGGACAUCAUGGGGCCGAUCAGCAUCGACAGACGUGUAAAGGUGUAGCCUUCUCCAGGUUUGGGCCGCCUUGAUCAGCCCAAAAUUCUAGUUGCGAACGAUAACUUCGCUUCGGAUGUCGCUCUUGCUGCGUAAUGCGGCGGAGUAAAUCCACCUAAACUCCUGGGGAAUAAGCCCUCCAGGCGGGGCCCGAUGGGGGCCUGGCAACAGAACCCCAUCACU
rfam:Asticcacaulis sp. YBE204 contig00004, whole genome shotgun sequence.